rnacentral:tRNA from 1 species
GGUUAUGGCUCAGUGGCAGAGCACUUGCCUAGCACGUGUGAGACACUGGGUUCAACUCUCAGCACCA